rnacentral:rRNA from 1 species
UAUUGGGCGUAAAGAGCUCGUAGGCGGUUUGUCGCGUCUGCCGUGAAAGUCCGGGGCUCAACUCCGGAUCUGCGGUGGGUACGGGCAGACUAGAGUGAUGUAGGGGAGACUGGAAUUCCUGGUGUAGCGGUGAAAUGCGCAGAUAUCAGGAGGAACACCGAUGGCGAAGGCAGGUCUCUGGGCAUUAACUGACGCUGAGGAGCGAAAGCAUGGGGAGCGAACAGGAUUAGAUACCCUGGUAGUCCAUGCCGUAAACGUUGGGCACUAGGUGUGGGGGACAUUCCACGUUUUCCGCGCCGUAGCUAACGCAUUAAGUGCCCCGCCUGGGGAGUACGGCCGCAAGGCUAAAACUCAAAGGAAUUGACGGGGGCCCGCACAAGCGGCGGAGCAUGCGGAUUAAUUCGAUGCAACGCGAAGAACCUUACCAAGGCUUGACAUGGGCCGGACCGGGCUGGAAACAGUCCUUCCCCUUUGGGGCCGGUUCACAGGUGGUGCAUGGUUGUCGUCAGCUCGUGUCGUGAGAUGUUGGGUUAAGUCCCGCAACGAGCGCAACCCUCGUUCCAUGUUGCCAGCGCGUAAUGGCGGGGACUCAUGGGAGACUGCCGGGGUCAACUCGGAGGAAGGUGGGGACGACGUCAAAUCAUCAUGCCCCUUAUGUCUUGGGCUUCACGCAUGCUACAAUGGCCGGUACAAAGGGUUGCGAUACUGUGAGGUGGAGCUAAUCCCAAAAAGCCGGUCUCAGUUCGGAUUGGGGUCUGCAACUCGACCCCAUGAAGUCGGAGUCGCUAGUAAUCGCAGAUCAGCAACGCUGCGGUGAAUACGUUCCCGGGCCUUGUACACACCGCCCGUCAAGUCACGAAAGUUGGUAACACCCGAAGCCGGUGGCCUAACCCCU